GACACCGCGACUCACUCCUCGAACAAGAUAGAGAGAGAGAGAGAGAGAGGGACGGUCGGCUAUGGAAAGUCAAGAUUCACGCAAGGUUUGAUAUCGUAAAACUAGACUACGUAUUGUGUCGUGUUUAUAGACGGACGCAAGGCCGUGGAUAGAAAUGUACAUACACAGCUCCUCCUUCGUUCGACUUUAUCAUACUUACAAGUCGACGUCGAUCUUAUACUGACCAUCGUAACUCGGACCUCGUUACUCAUCGUCAAUACCCGCUAAUUUUUGGGUUCAAUAGCGAAUACACAAUCUUGACGAGGUCAACGGGAACCCAUAACCUUCCGGUCUAACAAGCGACAAAACGGAUGAAAAAUUUGAAAAAGAAAAUGAUUCACACGAUUGAUAAAGAGGAUCGAAGGACUGUUAGGAAAAAAGUUGCGAAAAAAGCUACACCGUUGCGAAAGAAUCAAUUGAUUCGCGAAGAUCUCGUACAGAUACGAAGACCUGAUUAUUCGAUACAUGGGGACAUUGAUCCGUAAUUGAGUUUUCUAUGAGUUAACGAUCUCGUAUCACGGACGCGCAUCAUCCGAGUUCACUGGCAAAAUGAGUCAUUAUAGCUGUGAGAAGGUGCAGUAUUAUAUACAUUAUAUUAUGUACCAUAUACAGGGGGGGCACGGUGUCGUUGAACUCUCCGAAAGAAUAUCGUAAAUUAACCUCGCAAUAAUAAUUGUACAAACUAUGUAUUCAAUACAACAUCUAUUAUAUACGCAGGUUAGGAGUAAACAACAAUGGAAUUUUCGACAACAAAGGCGUCUGCUACUUUUCGACAAACUAUGUAUAGUAACACACGUCGUAACGUCUAUGCGUGUACGUAUACAGUUAAACCGAUGGCCCAAUUUUGAAAAUCGCAGAAUCGGAACGGGUCGAACUGUGUCAUGGGGGAUUUUCGUUCGAAUUUAUUACGUAGGCACGGAGAACACACGUAAACGUUUAACGCGACAACAACGACAACGACGACGACGACGAUGAUGAUCGCGAGAAUGACGGGCAAGAUUAUCAUUCAAAAUUCCCUCUCUUCCGGUGUACAGAUUUCCCGCUCCGCGUUUCCCCCGUUUCCCCCGUUACCCCCGUUACCCCGUUACGCGCGAGGAGGAGAAACGAGAAUUGUGACGAAGAAGUUUGUAUUACGGUCCCCCGUUCGGACUUGCGUCUAAAACGAACUGCUCUAGACUCGAUCCAAACUUGGGCAAAGGCUUUAAACCGUAAGCACUGCUGGUGUUGCACGAUAGGCGAGCAGCGGGUCGUUGACCGCGGAUUACUGCUACUGCAAUAAUGCUUCGCUCACUGCCUCGUCGUUUAUCCAUCCUCCUCUUUUCCUCUCAAACUCAUUACGUCUCUCCUUCUCUAUCUUGCUCCCUUUCUUUUUCUAUUUUCUUCGCUAGCUCUCCGUUUCCGCACCUCGAUCAUUCUUUCUUUUUCUCAUAUUUUCUCACCGUGCAGUACGUAUCCACCUAUCUGCACUCAUUCGAUGAAAGGAUCGUUUUCCGUCAACUGAAUUUCGUUUUUAGUCAAAUAAGAAAUUUCGCAUCGCUGUACCGUACGUUAGGAAAUUUGUAUUCUUUCCUCACUUUUUUGAUAAACUCUUUGGAAAAAAAUGCAUCGAAUUUUGCCGAAAUAUUGGAACAGAUCGGUGCGACUGGAAUCGAAUGGUAGAAAUAAUUUUUCUCCCAUUCUCUUUUCAGAAAAUCAGAAAUUCAUCCUAACGAUCGGGGGAAAAUCUGACCACAUUCUACCAGCGAACUGUAUCAAGAACGUAUCAAAUUCCCACCACUUCAGCGCUCCCGAUUCGCAAGCUCCGAAUCAGCUGGGAUCAUCAUCGAUCUCGAUCAUAGCUGUAUUUUGUUUUUUCUUUACUCCUAGACUCGAUGACGCACCUGGUAUUCCUACGUAAAUAAUCCGCGUCAUCGAUUCCCACAUAAUGACGUGAUGCGACGCGUCACCAGCUGAGGUACAGGUGUUGAAUUUAAUCAGCGCGAUUCACCUGGUUUUCGAAAUUAUUCGCGAGCGACAAAGAAGUACAAAAAACGAUUCGAUUUCCAGGCAAAAAUAUAUAGGACAAAUUCGCGGAAAGUACCAAGUAGCGCGUCGCUCGAUCAACGGCGUUCUUAUGGUCGUUGACGAAAGCCGUUAUGCGAUACGUUUCUCUUCGUGGUGGUAAAAAUAUAGAAAUAGGUGCACGUGAAUACGUGUACGUGUGUCAGGAGAGGUAUAGAAACAUUACGUUACAUUACACGCUUCGUGCGACGACGGUGAGUGGGUAUAGGUAACGUACGGUAUACAUAGGUAUGCGUUAUAUAUAGUGUCGGAGCGUCGACGUAUAAUGAAAGGCUUUCUCAGGUCGUCAACCUUAUAUUCUCUUUUAGUAUUUCCUGUCACUGGUUUCGCGCAUUUCUUCUUUAUAUAGUCCAGCGAUGUUUUCUCUCUCUCUUCUCUUCGGGGUUCCCCUAGCUCCAGUUAUGAUGAUGAAUUUCUAUACGCACAUAUACGUGUCGCACGCGUAACUUAUUUCUUGCGAUUGGUAUGACGUCAUUUUAUACCGGAAAAAAAUCAAUAUCCGCGGGAUUUCACAGCCUUCGCCCGUUCACCUUAAGAUCCCCUCGUCUUUAACCCACGUAAUCGAUUAACCCGAUAUUCAUUUAUUUGCAUUUUUCACAUUUUUUUUUUUUUUUUUUUUCUUCAAUCGGGUUUCAUUCAACCCGUACGUUACAACCCCCUUUUACCGUAACGCGUGUUAUCGAUAUCAUGUAAUCGAGGAAUGGGGAAAACACCUCCCACGCUUUACAUACAUUUUACGACAGAUUAGAUAACCAGCUAAAAUCAAUCGUUGCGUAAGAUGAGAGAACGCUUUUCCGUUUUUCUAACGAAUCUUUGUUUUUUUUUUUUUUUCAUUUUUUAACUAUGAUUUUCAAGUGCACAGGCUCAUGUCGCAGAGAUCAAAUUUUUCACACCAUCCGAUAUUGUCGAUUUUUCUUCCACCCCUUUUUAGAAUUUUUCGAUUAUUUCCAACUUCGUUUUUGUUUUCACGCGAUGGAUGAAUUCGAUCAAUUUUUUCACAAGAGCAUACGGUGAGCUUUAUCAGAGGGGAUAAAUUUUUGAGGUAUUAAAUUCGUGUUGAGAAACGAUGACCCGUGUGAUCUGAACUAAAUGCCUCGGUAUAGAAAUAACGCAACCUGAUGAUAAUAACUGCCGUUGCACUCGCGAGUCCCUGAAGCCUCGAGGCUGAGAGGUGGCUGCCCCCAUAUUGGGUCACAUUUACUUCGAGGUGACGUUUCUGACCGCCAACGCACACUUGCGCUCUCAGCGGUACUUGUACACGUAUCUAGAUAGAUAUAUAUAUAAAUACGCAUCCACGUUACAUUAUUAUAUACAUACGUGUGUAUAUAUGUAUAUAUAUGUAUACAUCUGUACCAUAUGUAAGUACAUACGCGUAUAUCCGCUCGGUCAUUUGCCCACACGAUUUAUAAUAUCAUCUAGGUUACAGACUUGUCAUCGCCUCGUUACAACCGUAGUAUGUACGCUUAUACGACUUACGUAACAACGCGUAGGAUUUUAUUCGGUGUAUAAAAAUGAAUAAAUGAAUAAAAAAAACCACGCGCAAACAUGGGUCAAUAAUCGAAGGGUUGAUGUUCGAGCAAGCGACGUUCUGAGCUCUGAAAUUUUGUUUGAUUUCAAGGCGUAGGCUAAAAAAAUGAAUUUUUGGUUUUUGGAAAUUCCAGGCCAGGGCUGGGAUAGGAAUUCCGAAAGAUCGCUCACAGAGUUUGAAAAUAGGCGGCACUGUGGACGAAAAUUUUGGAUCACUGUUAGAGUCGAUCGCGUGGUUUGAUUUUUGAAGGGGUUGGAAAUUUUUAAUUUUCCACGAAAAUUUCAUUGCCAGGUAAUCGGAAGGAGAACCUCGUAUAGCAAUUCGAUAAUCGAAUCGUCGAACGAAGAAGAGAAAUGAAAAUUGACCAGUCGUGCAUCCGUCGUUGUCGGGGUGAAAAUUGCAGUAGGCAAAAAAGUAGCUUAUAAUAUCGCGUCGUCAAUAGACGUGGGCAGAGAUUAAUUUUGAAAAUACAUUGCUCGGUAAUAUGCGGCUAUAGUAUAAGUACCUACACUCCUUAGCAUCUAUGCAUUAUAUCGCGCAGGUGGCAACGACCCCUGUAUACAAAGAUAUGGAAACGGGUGGCGUUCGCACACCGUCACGAAGCGUUCGUGUAUACAUACAAGCGGACGCUUCUCGACGCCCCUUGACGCAAAGCACCGCCCCCGUUGUACCUAUAGUACGUGUACAUAGGUAUACGAGUUGUGCGCUCGAAUGCCGCAACUGGCGAUUCGUCAGGACGUUGACAUUUGACCUGUGACGAGGUCGUCGUCGCCGUUGUACGCCGGCGUUGCAGGUUGCGUUUCGUACGACGAGUUAGAGAUUCGAUUUUCAGAUUCAGCGCACAGAAAUUCAUCCGCUCAAAACUAUGACCAGAUCAUAUCGUACCUACCGCGAUGCGAAAGAUGUAUAAGAUCCUUCGAUUCAAAAAAAAAAAAAAAAAAAGAAGGCUUUCGAUAACCCUCGUUUUAUCAAAAAUCACGUUCGACGAUCGUGAAGGGCUAAAGGCGACGAGAAAUAAUUAUUUUCGCGGUGAUUUUUGUUUUUUGAAAAUGAAAUUUUUGAUGGAAUGAAAAAUGCGUUGGAACAACGAGGAAUCUAUUUCUGAAAAAAAAAAAAAAAAAAAACCGUUCGAAAAUUGCGCAGACCGAGUGAGGAAUAUUCCGUGCAAAUGUAUGUUUACGGAGAAGAGUAUAUGCGCGAUGGAAUUCAUGAAACAACGGAUGUGUAAGGUAACACGAUGUAACACGCGACUCGAUACGAUAUAAUUAAUUCCGAACAGUGUUUCGUUAUCGAGCGUACAAUUAUAAUCGCGUUGUCGUUCGUCAUAAUUAUCGUGUAACAACUGCACUCUUCGUUCGUUUGUAAGUUUGUCGAGGUGUCGUCGGUAUCACGCCGUAACGGAACGAUAUCUACGAACAGGUACACCUUAUAUCCGUAAGCGUUAUGUCAAACCGUACAAAUUCUCCUCGACCGAAUAUAUAUAUAUAUAUAUUUAUAAUAACAAAAAGGUGU